rnacentral:lncRNA from 1 species
AAUCACAGCGGGCGAGAGCGGAGACUGGGAGCGAAAAAUCCGGGAUCAGGCAACUUUGGGCAGCGCAUGCGCGCCCGCGGCGCUCCAUCCCAAACACACACACAUUUUUCCCCCGGACUUGGAAAGUCACCCAAAGCCGCCCCAAGUGCAGGCAGACAGACCUCACUGAGUGAAAGCAAAGAUCCUCUCCGCCCCACCUGCCUUUGCUGCUGUCACGGCAUUGACCCCGCCUGUAAGAAGGUGGUCCUGCAGCUCCCGUGGUGUGUGUUGGAAUGGACUUCGGAUCCCGGCUUCUUGGGAUGCAAAGGAUGAAGUGACACCCAUACUGCCAGAGAGGAGCCUCCAGGACCGGCGACAAGAGUUUGGGACCAAAGAGAGGAGAAUGGAUCUUGGUACAGGUACCGGCCGGUGGGAACCGGGGGAGGCUCUUUCGCUUUUCUUUCGGUUCUUUUACGGAAGUUAUUAUUUUUAGCCCAAUGAGGUAGCAGCUGAGCAGGGGGUGGGGGCCGGCCUGGAGAGGGUCUGGUGCCGGCUGCGCUUCUCGCCCUGGUUUCUGGAUUGCGAGGCUUCCGAUGAUAUUAUUGUUAUUAUUUGUUACUUGCUUAGUGACUGUGACUAAUUUGAUGCUUGUCAUUGUGAAAGAACCGGGGGGAGAGAGGGAGCUGGGGGGCACCCAGAGAGAGGAUCUAGGGGUUUUUUGUGGGGGUUUUUGUUCUCCGUGUUUUUUGAAUGGCUCCGUGUUUUUUCUGUGUUUUUCUUUUCCCCAGCAAAAGAUCUCUAUGUGUCUGGCUGUGGGGUGUGUGUUUUUAUUUUUUUAGUGGGGGGUGGUUGAGUUUUUGAAAGCAGCGUCCUGUUGGGAAAGGUGGUUAGUCUGGUUUCGGGGCGACUGUCUCAAGGUAAAGGAAUUUAAUUUAUUUGGGACAAGGCUGUGUCGGAUGAUCAAGCUGCUUAUUAUGGCUAAUGAGUAUUUUUCACCUGAGAAUCCGUGGGAUGAGGCGGCUGUUAUCAGUUCAAAGUGAGGGGCCCUGGACUCUCUCCCAUCCCUCUUAGCCCUUGGGUCUGGGUUUUGGGGGGCCUAGCAUGACGCCUAGGUUAGGGUUCCAGAUAGCAUAGGUCUGGCCUGGAGCAGAGUUUAUCCUGAGAUUUGGGUGUUGUAUUGGUUUUAAUCUGAUUUUGUUCAACAUUUUUCUUCUCUUCCCAUCUGAGGUUCCAGUCUGAAUCCAGAGUGGGGUUUGCUUUUAAAUUCCUCAGGCUUUCCAGUAGCCUCAGUAUUAAAGUGGAAUUUUGACCAGGACCUUCAGGUCCUAGGCUGACAAAUGCACUGUCUUUGUCCUAAAUGUUUUUUUAGAAGGAGUCAGUGAUAAACAAGUUGAUAAUUCCAUUGAGCUUGAUCUCUGAACCUCUUCCGUUUCAUUUAUAAAAGGAGGUAUGCACUGCUGCUAGAGUCGUGGUUUACGAUGGCCCAAGUUCAUGGCAUUGCCUCUGGGGACCCAUGAGCUGCCAUUUGGCCUUCCAAAGUCGAAGGGGAGUUGGGCAGAGCGGAUAGGAGGCAGCGCUCCAGGGCUCAGGAUGGGUGAUGGGACGUGGCGGUUGGCCUUGGGAAGGAGGAGGGUGUGUUUGUGGAGGAAGGAUCUUUAAGACUACAUCCCGCCAGGUGUGAUCUUGGCACCUUUGAUGUGGAGGUCCUCAGGACCUCUGUGCCCGGGAAGGGUGCUACACCCCCUGCUGGGCAAAGUGGUUAAGGUGUCUUAAGGCCACGGCUGCCACCCUGCCCCUCCCUGCCCUUCGCUGGCACAGAGAAGCCGCCCGCCCCCACCUCUAGUCAGGUGUCUCAUCACUCCCUCUCAGGCCCCACCCCCUUUCUUCAGAAAUGGGGCCCCCACCCAUCCCAGCUAAGAAGCAGGCCUUCUAGAUGGGCCCAUGGUAACAACACACCACCCCCUACCUGGGACAGGCGGGCCUCCGCUUGUGGGCAAGCCGGUGGGACCCAGGAUUACGCAGCUGGAAGUCAGGCCGUCCUUACCUUCCUCUUUGUAACCCAGAUGCCACUUGGAGCUGGCGUCCAUCCUCCUGCCCUCUGCCAGCCUGCUGGGGGGGCUCGACUCCAAAGCCCUUCUGUAGGGUGAUCCCCACCUGGAGAGAGGGCCUCUGGGGCCUGCAGGUGGCAGAACUUCUUGUAGCAUCUCUCCCGGCACGUGUUUCUCCCAGCACUCUAGGGACAGGCUCUGGAAACUUUUCCUAGAAGUUACAAGGGCCCCUGAGGUCAGCUGGUCCCUCCCGUGGCUGGAGCAGGGCCCUCCCAGGAGGACCCAGGCCUGGACUCUGGCCACUCUGUGAGGGGAGGUCCAGGGUGUCAGCGUUCUGACUGUUUCCUGGAGGAGUCAUCUGGUGAUACCGUCUCAACCUUUUCUUUGAACUUGGAAGUUUCACUUAAUCUCAGAACUUCAGAAGAAAAGCGCUUUUUCCCCUCUUCACUAAAAAAGGGAAGCAGGUGAGAACACUCUGAGGUCCUCUCUGAGUCUGUCUCUGAGCCAACUCCCUGCUCAUCUUUUCUCAGCCUCUGGAAUGUCCUUCUGGAUGCAGCCAGGGACAGGGACCUUCUGGCCAGGGCUCCUUGCUGGUGUGGUACGGGGCCCUCUUCUGUGGGGGGCACCAGGGGCAGCUUCUGCCAAGGGCCUCUCUGGCACAGAACCAGGCUGGAGACCCAAGCCCCAAAGGGUUGCUGGCACCAUGGACUCAGUAAGCACUGGACUGGGGGUUCACAUCACCUCCAGCCCUGGACAGGUCUGGGUCCUGGAGCAUUCAGUGAUGGGAGAACCAGGGCCUCUCAGGAGGGGACAGCAGGACCUCACACCCCUCAGGGGCCAUGUGGACCCCUUUUCUUCCACCAUAGUUCAGCCAAGGGCUGGAUCAAUCUGGACGUCUUUAGCAAUAAAAAAUGCCGAUGUCGUCCUAAUUCACCAGGCCCCGAGAUGACAGCAAAUUUACAUUUUUUAAUUAAACUAGCAGCCAGUUUUUAUGAGAGGGGGUUGGGUUAUGCAAAUCAAAUGGUUGUGUACGGAAGAUUAGGAGAGUUUGGGAAUAAAUUCCACAAAUGCUAAUAAAAAAAAAAAAAA